GGCCGCGUGGCCUAAUGGUAAGGCGUUACUUUCCGGUGGUAAAGACUCUCGGUUCGAGUCCGGGCGCGGUCG